UUUUUAGUGUUGUUUAUUCUAACCGGACCCGUGAUUAGGAUCUAAAUUAAAUUUGCAGAAUUUAGCUUGGUCUUACCGAAUUGUAUGACACAACAAUUUGACCUCAAUGAAAAGAUGUGAGGAAAUAAGAAAAAAAGGGAAACGACAGUUUGGUGGCUGGAAAUGGCUGUAUUUACAGAGGGUGUCGCGUGUGUCGAUUUGCUUCUUUUGGUUGCUACAAGGGCCACCACUGGCAAUACCCAUAUCUUCUCGGCGUUAAGUGGGUAUGCCAUGAACGUACUGAGCG